UACGUAGGGUGCAAGCGUUGUCCGGAUUUAUUGGGCGUAAAGAGCGUGUAGGCGGCUAGGUAGGUCCGUUGUGAAAACUCGAGGCUCAACCUCGAGACGCCGAUGGAAACCAUCUAGCUAGAGUCCGGAAGAGGAGAGUGGAAUUCCUGGUGUAGCGGUGAAAUGCGCAGAUAUCAGGAAGAACACCCGUGGCUAAGGCGGCUCUCUAGUACGGUACUGACGCUGAGACGCGAAAGCGUGGGGAGCGAACAGG
rnacentral:rRNA from 1 species